rnacentral:rRNA from 1 species
ACGGAAGGCAGCAGUGGGGAAUAUUGGUCAAUGGGCGAGAGCCUGAACCAGCCAAGUAGCGUGAGGGAUGACUGCCCUAUGGGUUGUAAACCUCUUUUGUUCGGGAAUAAAGGACCCUACGCGUAGGGUUUUGCAUGUACCGUUCGAAUAAGCAUCGGCUAAUUCCGUGCCAGCAGCCGCGGUAAUACGGAAGAUGCGAGCGUUAUCCGGAUUUAUUGGGUUUAAAGGGAGCGUAGGCGGUCCUUUAAGUCAGCGGUCAAAUGUCAGCGCCCAACGCUGGCCUGCCGUUGAUACUGGAGGACUUGAAUACACACAAGGAAGGUGGAAUUCGUCGUGUAGCGGUGAAAUGCUUAGAUAUGACGAAGAACUCCGAUUGCGAAGGCAGCCUUCUGGAGUGCGAUUGACGCUGAGGCUCGAAAGCGCGGGUAUCAAACAGGAUUAGAUACCCUGGUA